rnacentral:rRNA from 1 species
CCUCGUCCUAUGUUGCCAGCGCUUGAUAGCGGGUCACCCAUAGGAGACUGCCGGGGUCAACUCGCGACGAAGGUGGGUACGACGUCCGAUCAUCAUUCCCCUUAUGUCUUCGGGCUUCACAGCAUGCUACAAUGGCCGGUACAAAGGGUUGCGAUACUGUGAGGUGGAGCUAAUCCCAAAAAACCGGUCUCAGUUCGCGAUGUGGGGUCUGCAGACUCGACCCCAUCGAAGUCUGGAGUCGCUAGUAUAUCGCACAUCAUCAACGCUACAGUGAAUACGUUCCCGGGCCUUGUACACACCGCCCGUCAAGUCACGAAAAUUGGUAGCACCCGAAGCCGGUGGCUUAACCCUUGUGGCGGGAGACUUCAAAGGUGGGACCCGCGAUUGUGACUAACUC